ACGGAGCUGUUUUCUCUGAAGUUUUCGGAUGGAAGAGAGUUCAGCUUAGUGGCGAACGGGUGAGUAACACGUGAGCAACCUGCCUUUCAGUGGGGGACAACAUUUGGAAACGAAUGCUAAUACCGCAUAAGACCACAGUGUCGCAUGGCACAGGGGUCAAAGGAUUUAUCCGCUGAAAGAUGGGCUCGCGUCCGAUUAGCUAGAUGGUGAGGUAACGGCCCACCAUGGCGACGAUCGGUAGCCGGACUGAGAGGUUGAACGGCCACAUUGGGACUGAGACACGGCCCAGACUCCUACGGGAGGCAGCAGUGGGGAAUAUUGCACAAUGGGGGAAACCCUGAUGCAGCGACGCCGCGUGGAGGAAGAAGGUCUUCGGAUUGUAAACUCCUGUCCCAGGGGACGAUAAUGACGGUACCCUGGGAGGAAGCACCGGCUAACUACGUGCCAGCAGCCGCGGUAAAACGUAGGGUGCAGGCGUUGUCCGGAAUUACUGGGUGUAAAGGGAGCGCAGGCGGAUUGGCAAGUUGGGAGUGAAAUCUAUGGGCUCAACCCAUAAAUUGCUUUCAAAACUGUCAGUCUUGAGUGGUGUAGAGGUAGGCGGAAUUCCCGGUGUAGCGGUGGAAUGCGUAGAUAUCGGGAGGAACACCAGUGGCGAAGGCGGCCUACUGGGCACUAACUGACGCUGAGGCUCGAAAGCAUGGGUAGCAAACAGGAUUAGAUACCCUGGUAGUCCAUGCCGUAAACGAUGAUUACUAGGUGUGGGAGGAUUGACCCCUUCCGUGCCGCAGUUAACACAAUAAGUAAUCCACCUGGGGAGUACGACCGCAAGGUUGAAACUCAAAGGAAUUGACGGGGGCCCGCACAAGCAGUGGAGUAUGUGGUUUAAU
rnacentral:rRNA from 1 species